rnacentral:rRNA from 1 species
UGGGGAAUAUUGCACAUUGGGCGCAAGCCUGAUGCAGCCAUGCCGCGUGUAUGAAGAAGGCCUUCGGGUUGUAAAGUACUUUCAGCGGGGAGGAAGGGAGUAAAGUUAAUACCUUUGCUCAUUGACGUUACCCGCAGAAGAAGCACCGGCUAACUCCGUGCCAGCAGCCGCGGUAAUACGGAGGGUGCAAGCGUUAAUCGGAAUUACUGGGCGUAAAGCGCACGCAGGCGGUUUGUUAAGUCAGAUGUGAAAUCCCCGGGCUCAACCUGGGAACUGCAUCUGAUACUGGCAAGCUUGAGUCUCGUAGAGGGGGGUAGAAUUCCAGGUGUAGCGGUGAAAUGCGUAGAGAUCUGGAGGAAUACCGGUGGCGAAGGCGGCCCCCUGGACGAAGACUGACGCUCAGGUGCGAAAGCGUGGGGAGCAAACAGG